AUUUUUGAAAGGCAUGCUUGGCAAUUGCUUUUCAGAAGUUGAAGGCUUUGAAGGACAUGAACAUAAUUGUUUGGAGUAAACUAUAAUUGGACCAGAUAGAUUAUUUUUGAGUGGUGAAAAUUGUAAUGUAGAACUUGUUUCACUUUUGUUCUCAAAUGGUUAAAUGUGUGCUUCCCACUUUUGGUUUCAAACAAUGUGGUCGGCGG
rnacentral:misc_RNA from 1 species